rnacentral:rRNA from 1 species
UACGUAGGGGGCAAGCGUUGUCCGGAAUUAUUGGGCGUAAAGAGCUCGUAGGCGGUCUGUUGCGUCCGCUGUGAAAACCCGGGGCUUAACCCCUGGCUUGCAGUGGAUACGGACAGACUAGAGGUAGGUAGGGGAGAAUGGAAUUCCCGGUGUAGCGGUGAAAUGCGCAGAUAUCGUAAGGAAGACCAGUGGCGAAGGCGGGUCUCUGGACAGUUCCUGACGCUGAGGCACGAAGGUCAGGGGAGCAAACGGG